GAUGAACGCUGGCGGCGUGCUUAACACAUGCAAGUCGAACGGAAAGGCCCAAGCUUGCUUGGGUACUCGAGUGGCGAACGGGUGAGUAACACGUGGGUGAUCUGCCCUGCACUUCGGGAUAAGCCUGGGAAACUGGGUCUAAUACCGGAUAGGACCACUUCUUGGAUGUUGUGGUGGAAAGUUUUUUCGGUGUGGGAUGAGCUCGCGGCCUAUCAGCUUGUUGGUGGGGUAAUGGCCUACCAAGGCGUCGACGGGUAGCCGGCCUGAGAGGGUGUACGGCCACAUUGGGACUGAGAGACGGCCCAGACUCCUACGGGAGGCAGCAGUGGGGAAUAUUGCACAAUGGGCGCAAGCCUGAUGCAGCGACGCCGCGUGGGGGAUGACGGACUUCGGGUUGUAAACGCCUUUCGCUAGGGACGAAGCGUUUUGUGACGGUACCUGGAGAAGAAGCACCGGCUAACUACGUG
rnacentral:rRNA from 1 species